rfam:Danio rerio chromosome 4, GRCz11 reference primary assembly.
GCCUGGCUAGCUCAGUCUGUAGAGCAUGAGACUCUUAAUGUCAGGGUCGUGGGUUUGAGCCCCACUUUGGGCG